GACAGAGGGUGCAAACGUUGUUCGGAUUUACUGGGCGUAAAGCGCGUGUAGGCGGCCUGAUAGGUCAGCUGUGAAAACUCGAGGCUCAACCUCGAGACGUCGGUUGAAACCAUCUGGCUAGAGUCCGGAAGAGGAGAGUGGAAUUCCCGGUGUAGCGGUGAAAUGCGCAGAUAUCGGGAAGAACACCCGUGGCGAAGGCGGCUCUCUGGGACGGUACUGACGCUGAGACGCGAAAGCGUGGGGAGCGAACAGG
rnacentral:rRNA from 1 species